rnacentral:rRNA from 1 species
UACGUAGGUCCCGAGCGUUGUCCGGAUUUAUUGGGCGUAAAGCGAGCGCAGGUGGUUUAUUAAGUCUGGUGUAAAAGGCAGUGGCUCAACCAUUGUAUGCAUUGGAAACUGGUAGACUUGAGUGCGGGAGAGGAGAGUGGAAUUCCAUGUGUAGCGGUGAAAUGCGUAGAUAUAUGGAGGAACACCGGUGGCGAAAGCGGCUCUCUGGCCUGUAACUGACACUGAGGCUCGAAAGUGUGGGGAGCAAACAGG